CAGCAGCCGCGGGAAUACGAAGGGUGCAAGCGUUACUCGGAAUUACUGGGCGUAAAGCGUGCGUAGGUGGUGGUUUAAGUCUGCUGUGAAAGCCCUGGGCUCAACCUGGGAAUUGCAGUGGAUACUGGAUCACUAGAGUGUGGUAGAGGGAUGCGGAAUUUCUGGUGUAGCAGUGAAAUGCGUAGAGAUCAGAGGGAACAUCCGUGGCGAAGGCGGCAUCCUGGGCCAACACUGACACUGAGGCACGAAAGCGUGGGGAGCAAACAGGACUAGAUACCCCCGUAGUCCCUGUCUCUUAUAC
rnacentral:rRNA from 1 species